UCAGCUGGAACCAAAUGCUGCUUGCAGUCUGUUAACCAGCAGAAGUGUAACUGAGAGAAGUGAAACUACAGACUUAAGAGGAGAUGGAGAGAUUCAGGGAGGAGCUGAGCUGUUACUGAACUAUAGAAGAGAGAGAAACUUCAAACCACAAACAUUACCUUCAUUCAACAUGCUGUCACUGGACUAUUAUGGACUUUCUCUGAUGGUUGUCACUCUUCUAACAGGUGUCAGCUGUGAAGAUCUCAGUCCAGUCAAAGAUGAACAGUCCAGUUUAGAAGACAGCUCUGUUACUCUGUCCUACAGAUACAGCAAGAAAGCUGCAGCUGAUGAUUACUUCUUCUGGUAUCGACAAGAUCCAGGAAAGCCACCAGAGUUCCUCACCUCUCACUCAGGAACAGGAAGAAUAUUAAUGAGUCCAAAGUCUGGACUGUCUGUUACAGUGAGUGAGGAAAACACUCACAUGAAUGUUCAGAUCUCCUCUGCUGCAGUGACAGACUCUGCUCUGUACUACUGUGCUGUGAGGCCCACAGUGACAGCAAACCCACAGUCUCUGUACAAAAACACAAGCUGACACACUGACAAGCUGCUGGAAGCCUUUUUUCCACACUGUUGGACUCAACUUUUUACCUCCACUAGAGGGCGACAUUAUCAAGUAGGCGGUGCACUACUUCUGCACUGUGUUCAACCAUUGUGUCAAUAAUAAGUGCUGCUGUGAAGAGAACAAUUCUCACACUGAAUGUUGAACAGCAGCUGCUUUCUCCUGUUGCUUUAAACCUUGUUGUACAGAUGGAACUUUGGCUGUGGAUUAUUCUUGCUGCUCUUUUCUUUGGUGAGACACAAAGAACAACAUGUUUUUAUUCUCUUCUAAAGACUGACGCAAACUGGAGUUCAGAGCAGAAAUCUGUUUCUGUCCACACAGUAACUCUGUACACAUGAUAUUUUCCACUGUCUUCUCCUCUCAGCCUCAUGAACAAUGUUAGUCUAAUGGCUUCAUUUCCUCCUCUUC